rnacentral:lncRNA from 1 species
AUGUCUUCUCACAAGACUUUCAGGAUUAAGCGAUUCCUGGCCAGGAAACAAAAGCAAAAUCGUCCCAUUCCCCAGUGGAUUCGGAUGAAAACUGGAAAUAAAAUCAGAUGGGAGGCCAGGCCUGCAGCUGGUGGAGGGGGCCACGUGGGUGCUACCCUGGACACGGCCAGAGAUGAGCAAGAACCAAGAGGAAGAGGAUGGAGAGGCAGAAGCAUCACCCUGUUUGGGAGAGGAGGGACAGGAGGACGCAGAAGCCUCCUAGGAGAAACUGAAGGACCAGAGGAGGGAGCAGGAGGGCCUGACCAUGGAGGGGAGGAAGGGGAAGACAGAGUGACAGGGCACCUGGCUUGGCUCCUGGAGCAACUGACACUGGCUGGUAGGCACCUUCUCCUGGCCACACAUCUGCGUGUGACAGCCACAGAUGCACAGGGAUGGGGGCGUGGGAGGAUGAGCAGAGAGGGCUAGGGGGCUCUCUCUCUACCACAGGGCCCCUGCCCCUCAGCUUCCUGAUAAAGAGAAUUGGAACUGUGUCCUUGACAAGGUAAGGGACCUGAAUCUGACAGGGCUCACGCUCUGCUCUGUGGGUCAAACUUAGAACCUGAAACUCCCAACCACCGUCUUCAAGGUCCUUCUGGCUCCCAACCCCCACCUCCCGCCACCCCACCCUAAGGGUGGGAGGAACCCUGGGGGAGUAUGGGGGCUGAGAUCAUCAUUCUGGGACAGUAGAGAGAAAAGCCCAGGCCUGACAGAGGGGUCCCACUGUCCAGAGACAAGCCUCUGGGGAAACCCAGGCUGUCUCUGGACGUCAGGGCCACGGCCAGAGCAGGGCCACUGCCAGACUGGCCGCCAGCCAGGCUGCAGGAGGGACAGUGGCCAGCAUCCUCUUCCACCCUCAUCAGAGGGGCCAGCUUUGUCUCCAGCUCAGCUUCCCUGUGAGCCAGGACGGGGGUCUGCAGAACAUCUGGUGGCUUCUGGGGUGAGGGAAAGUAGGUGCCUGGGGCUCAGCCCUGGUGCAAUUGUUCAUCUGGGUCAGCAGAGGUCGCGGGAGGCCCUGUAGGCCCAGAGGACCGUUGUAUCUCCAGCUCCCCAGGCAGGAGGCCGCUGGCCACAGAGCCUCUCCCCAGGAACAGACCUCUGCACACGCUACUCUGCCCGCACCCCCAGCCCUCACAGAUGGUGUUUGGAGGUUAGGGAGGGCCUCCCCACAGCCCCCAAGCAGGACUUACUGCUCUCCAGGGACCCAGCCACCUGUCCCAGCCUCUCCCACCUCCCACCUCUCCACUGGCCCUACCCCCUCCUGGCACCUUCUGUAACAAAGAAGCUCGCCUCCCCUCCGCUCACCUGCAACUCAGGCCGCAGUGCUUCGCCUCCCCCACCCCACCCCACCUCUGCCCCUAGAGUGGCAGCUCCAGCUUUGGGACACAGGCUGGGGUGAGGGCAUAGAGGGGCUGGACAGUCCCAGGCA